AGCGCAGGCGGGAGAACAAGUUGGAAGUGAAAUCCAUGGGCUCAACCCAUGAACUGCUUUCAAAACUGUUUUUCUUGAGUAGUGCAGAGGUAGGCGGAAUUCCCGGUGUAGCGGUGGAAUGCGUAGAUAUCGGGAGGAACACCAGCGGCGAAGGCGGCCUACUGGGCACCAACUGACGCUGAGGCUCGAAAGUGUGGGUAGCAAACA
rnacentral:rRNA from 1 species